rnacentral:rRNA from 1 species
GACGAACGCUGGCGGCGUGCUUAACACAUGCAAGUCGAACGGAAAGGCCCUGCUUUUGUGGGGUGCUCGAGUGGCGAACGGGUGAGUAACACGUGAGUAACCUGCCCUUGACUUUGGGAUAACUUCAGGAAACUGGGGCUCAUACCGGAUAGGAGCUCCUGCUGCAUGGUGGGGGUUGGAAAGUUUCGGCGGUUGGGGAUGGACUCGCGGCUUAUCAGCUUGUUGGUGGGGUAGUGGCUUACCAAGGCUUUGACGGGUAGCCGGCCUGAGAGGGUGGCCGGCCACAUUGGGACUGAGAUACGGCCCAGACGCCAACGGGAGGCAGCAGUGGAGAAUAUUGCACAAUGGGCGGAAGCCUGAUGCAGCAACGCCGCGUGCGGGAUGACGGCCUUCGGGUUGUAAACCGCUUUCGCCUGUGACGAAGCGUGAGUGACGGUAAUGGGUAAAGAAGCACCGGCUAACUACGUG